rnacentral:rRNA from 1 species
CAAGGAUUCCCCUAGUAACUGCGAGUGAAGCGGGAAAAGCUCAAAUUUAAAAUCUGGCAGUCUUUGAUUGUCCGAGUUGUAAACUAGAGAAGUGUUAUCCGUGCUGGACCGUGUAAAAGUCUCCUGGAAUGGAGCAUCAUAGAGGGUGAGAAUCCCGUCUUUGACAUGGACUACCAGUGCUUUGUGAUGCGCUCUCAAAGAGUCGAGUUGUUUGGGAAUGCAGCUCAAAAUGGGUGGUAAAUUCCAUCUAAAGCUAAAUAUUGGCGAGAGACCGAUAGCGAACAAGUACCGUGAGGGAAAGAUGAAAAGAACUUUGGAAAGAGAGUUAAACAGUACGUGAAAUUGCUGAAAGGGAAACGCUUGAAGUCAGUCGCGUCGGCCAGGAAUCAACCUUGCUUUUGCUGGGCGUACUUUCUGGUUGACGGGUCAGCAUCAAUUUUGACUGCUGGAAAAAGUUCAAGGGAAUGUGGCAUCUUCGGAUGUGUUAUAGCCCUUGUUCGCAUACAGCAGUUGGGAUUGAGGUACUCAGCACGCCGCAAGGCCGGGUUUCGACCACGUUCGUGCUUAGGAUGCUGGCAUAAUGGCUUUAAUCGACCCGUCUUGAAACACGGACCAAGGAGUCUAACAUGCCUGCGAGUGUUUGGGUGGAAAACCCAAGCGCGCAAUGAAAGUAAAAGUUGAGAUCCCUGUCAUGGGGAGCAUCGACGCCCGGACCAGAGCUUUUGUGACGGAUCUGCGGUAGAGCAUGUAUGUUGGGACCCGAAAGAUGGUGAACUAUGCCUGAAUAGGGUGAAGCCAGAGGAAACUCUGGUGGAGGCUCGUAGCGAUUCUGACGUGCAAAUCGAUCGUCAAUUUGGGUAUAGGGGCGAAAGACUAAU